rnacentral:rRNA from 1 species
AUUAAUUCGAUGCAACGCGAAGAACCUUACCUGGGUUUGACAUGCACCAGACGCGUCAAGAGAUAGGCGUUCCCUUGUGGUUGGUGUGCAGGUGGUGCAUGGCUGUCGUCAGCUCGUGUCGUGAGAUGUUGGGUUAAGUCCCGCAACGAGCGCAACCCUUGUUCCAUGUUGCCAGCGGGUGAUGCCGGGGACUCAUGGGAGACUGCCGGGGUCAACUCGGAGGAAGGUGGGGAUGACGUCAAGUCAUCAUGCCCCUUAUGUCCAGGGCUUCACACAUGCUACAAUGGCCUAUACAGAGGGCUGCGAGACCGUGAGGUGGAGCGAAUCCCUUAAAGUGGGUCUCAGUUCGGAUCGGGGUCUGCAACUCGACCCCGUGAAGUUGGAGUCGCUAGUAAUCGCAGAUCAGCAACGCUG